rnacentral:rRNA from 1 species
AAUUCGAUGCAACGCGAAGAACCUUACCUGGGCUUGACAUCCCGAGAAUCCCCUGGAAACAGGGGAGUGCCUUUCGGGAACUCGGAGACAGGUGCUGCAUGGCUGUCGUCAGCUCGUGUCGUGAGAUGUUGGGUUAAGUCCCGCAACGAGCGCAACCCUUGUCUUUAAUUGCCAGCAUUCAGUUGGGCACUUUAAAGAGACUGCCGGUGUUAAAGCCGGAGGAAGGUGGGGAUGACGUCAAGUCCUCAUGGCCUUUAUGCCCAGGGCUACACACGUGCUACAAUGGGUGGUACAAAGAGAUGCCAACUCGCGAGAGCGCGCCAAUCUCAGAAAGCCAUCCUCAGUUCGGAUUGGAGUCUGCAACUCGACUCCAUGAAGUUGGAAUCGCUAGUAAUCGCGGAUCAGCACGCCGCGGUGAAUACGUUCCCGGGCCUU